rnacentral:rRNA from 1 species
AAUUUUGGACAAUGGGCGCAAGCCUGAUUCAGCCAUGCCGCGUGCGGGAAGAAGGCCUUCGGGUUGUAAACCGCUUUUGUCAGGGAAGAAACGCUCUGGGCUAAUACCCCGGGGUAAUGACUGUACCCCGCGAAUAAGCCCCGGCUAACUCUGUGCCAGCAGCCGCGGUAAUACAGAGGGGGCAAGCGUUGUCCGGAUUUACUGGGCGUACAGCGCGCGCAGGCGGUUGCGUAUGUGACCGGUGACAUCCGUGGGCUCAACCCACGGCGGCCCGGUUACACAGCGCGACUGGAGGCAGGGAGAGGGAUGUGGAAUACCCGGUGGAGCGGUGAAAUGCGUAGAGAUCGGGUGGAACACCAGCGGCGAAGGCGGCAUCCUGGCCCUGAACUGACGCUGAGGCGCGAUAGCGUGGGGAGCAAA